AUGACCUGCACCUGUUCCCCCAAAGCACCAAGGGCUCCCCCUGUCCUCCCAGCCCCCUGCUCACCAACAAGCUGUACCUGCUUCCCCAUAUCUCCAGGGGCCCCCCUGCCCUCCCAGCCCCUGCUCACCUGCAGCCUCGCUGCACCCUGUCCCUUGGGCUGCCACCUCAGGCUCCCCUGCCUCUCUGGCCCCUCCAGGAACCCUCACCCCUGCCCAGCUCCACUCCUCACCCCUUUAUUUCCUAGGCUCAGCUCUCGUCCCUGGACUUGCCAGGUGUCCACGUGGCCUACGGGCUGCUCUCCCCUGGAGGAGCUCUGUCCACCCGGGCCCCUCCUGGCGGAGGUCCUGGCCCUUUCUCUCCACUCUUCUCUGUCCCUCCACCUAUGCCCUCCUGUGGCUCCUUGCUGCCUCCACUUUUCGGGUCACGUGCCCUCUCUCCAGCUCCCGCUGCUGGUCCUCAGGCCCUGGGCUCUGGUCAGUCCCCUGUGUUCUGGGGAGCUGCGGGCUCAGCCCUGUGCUGCCCGCUGUGGACAUGGAGCCUGUCCGGCCCUGCAGCCCUGCCCCUCGGCUCUGCCUCUGCACUCGGCUCCAGCCCAGUCGGGACCCACAGUCCCUGCACGUGGCCCUGCCCUGAGACCUGUGCCGGCUCCACCGGCCUGUCCAGGAGCCGUCACUGCCCUGGGGUCCUCUCCCUUCCCUGCUCCUCACAUCAGACCCUCCUUCUGUCCUGGCUGGUCCUCAUGCCUGCCCAGCCCGGGCCUCCAGAGCCCCUGGUCAUGCACAGCCCUCCCCUCCCGUCUCCAGCCUGUCCUGCUCCUCGACGGCCCACAGCCCCCCGAGCUCCCCAGCCCUGGGCAGCAGCACUCUCGGUGCUGUGCGCCCUUCCCGGGUUCCGUCCCCACUCUCGUCCGGCACCGUGACCGGGGGCAGCUGCCUCCCCCGGCCCGCUUGGCUGCUCCAGCCUCUCUGGGGAUCCUGAGGCCGGUCUCCCUCCAGGGCUCUCAUUCCUGUCCCUGUGUGCUCAUCCUCGGGGUCCCCACUCACCCAUAG
rnacentral:lncRNA from 1 species